rnacentral:rRNA from 1 species
GACGAACGCUGGCGGCGUGCCUAAUACAUGCAAGUCGACCUUAGUGGCGAACGGGUGCGUAACACGUGGGUAAUCUUCGCAUCAGAAGGGUAUAACCCUUGGAUACAGGUGCUCAUACCGUAUACUGAUGGAUGGACCAGCGGGGCAUUAGCUAGUUGGUGAGGUAACGGCUCACCAAGGCCACGAUUCAUAGCCGACCUGAGAGGGUGACCGGCCAGAUUGGGAAUGAGACACGGCCCAAACUCCUACGGUAGGCAGCAGUAGGGAAUCUUCGACAAUGGACGAAAGUCUGACCGAGCAACGCCGCGUGAGUGAAGAAGGUUUUCGGAUCGUAAAACUCUGUUGUUAGAGAAGCGGUAUCUAACCAGAAAGCCACGGCUAACUACGUGCCAGCAGCCGCGGUAAUAC